AGCUCCAAUAGCGUAUAUUAAAGUUGUUGCAGUUAAAAAGCUCGUAGUUGAAUUUCUGGUCUUGGACGGCGGUCUGCCUCAAACGAGGUACGUAUCAUCUGUCCGGGUCCAUCCUCGGGGAAAAUAUAUCUGUGAUUCAGUUCAUGGGUAUAGGAUCCUCGUCAUUUACUGUGAGCAAAAUAGGGUGUUCAAAGCAGGCUUAUGCCGUUGAAUACAUUAGCAUGGAAUAAUAAGAUAAGACCUUGGUCUAUUUUGUUGGUUUGCAUUCCAAGGUAAUGAUUAAUAGGGACAGUUGGGGGUAUUCGUAUUCAAUUGUCAGAGGUGAAAUUCUUGGAUUUAUGGAAGACGAACUACUGCGAAAGCAUUUACCAAGGAUGUUUUCA
rnacentral:rRNA from 1 species